rnacentral:rRNA from 1 species
CACGUAGGCACCAAGCGUUGUCCGGAUUUAUUGGGCGUAAAGCGCGCGUAGGCGGCCCGUUAAGUCGGAUGUGAAAACCCGGGGCUCAACCCCGGGCCUGCAUUCGAUACUGGCGGGCUCGAGGCAGGCAGGGGAGAGUGGAAUUCCUGGUGUAGCGGUGAAAUGCGCAGAUAUCAGGAAGAACACCAACGGCGAAGGCAGCUCGCUAGGACGGUACUGACGCUGAGACGCGAAAGCGUGGGGAGCGAACAGG